rnacentral:lncRNA from 1 species
CUGAUGGAACAGUUGACAGUGGUCAAGGAUCAUCUGUAUUCACAGAAUCCAGAGUGAGCAGCCAACAGACUGUUUCCUAUGGCUCCCAACAUGAGCAGGCACAUUCUAUUGGCACAGCACCAGGACAUACAGUUUCUAGUAUCCAAGCACAAUCUCAGCCCCAUGGGGUGUAUCCACCCUCAAGUAUGGUGAGUAAAUGCAUAAGAAAAUGGAAUACCAAAAUAGUAAUCAAUAGGUAAUCUGCCAAAUUAAAAUUAUUUAUGUCAUCUAAGUAGCACUGUGAGUCUAAGAGACUAUAAAUGGUCUAGUCAGUCUUCUUUAUCUGGGG